CUGGCUCCACUGGUCUGGUGUAGAACAGGAUCUCUGGAGGCUGUUUGUAACUGUGGUCACAAAAUCAAUGUUCUGGGAGAACGGGAAGCAGCUCCAUUUUUGGGGGGGCCCUUUACACAGCUCAAGGUCUGGGUCCCAGGGUCCACCUUCAUGUUCCACCAAUGAGUUUGUUCACAGGGGGUGGAGUGUGUAGGGGAUGUCCUGAUAUGUG